rnacentral:rRNA from 1 species
GGAUUAGAUACCCUGGUAGUCCAUGCUGUAAACGAUGUCUACUAGCUGUUGGAUUCCUAGAGGAUUUAGUGGCGCAGUUAACGCACUAAGUAGACCGCCUGGGGAGUACGGCCGCAAGGUUAAAACUCAAAUGAAUUGACGGGGGCCCGCACAAGCGGUGGAGCAUGUGGUUUAAUUCGACGCAACGCGAAGAACCUUACCAGGCCUUGACAUCCCAGGAAGAAACCAGAGAUGGUUUUGUGCCUUCGGGAACUUGGUGACAGGUGCUGCAUGGCUGUCGUCAGCUCGUGUUG